UACGUAGGGUGCGAGCGUUGUCCGGAAUUACUGGGCGUAAAGAGCUUGUAGGUGGUUUGCCGCGUUGUUCGUGAAAUCUCACGGCUUAACUGUGAGCGUGCGGGCGAUACGGGCAGACUAGAGUACUGCAGGGGAGACUGGAAUUCCUGGUGUAGCGGUGGAAUGCGCAGAUAUCAGGAGGAACACCGGUGGCGAAGGCGGGUCUCUGGGCAGUAACUGACGCUGAGAAGCGAAAGCGUGGGGAGCGAACAGG
rnacentral:rRNA from 1 species